UAAGGAAUAUUGCUCAAUGGGAGAAAUCCUGAAGCAGCAACGCCGCGUGGAGGAUGAAGGGUCUAUGACUUGUAAACUCCUGUAAAGAAGGAAAAAAUUCCCAUUUGAUGGGAGAUGAUGGUACUUCUGGAGUAAGCCCCGGCUAACUACGUGCCAGCAGCCGCGGUAAUACGUAGGGGGCAAGCGCUGUCCGGAUUUACUGGGUGUAAAGGGUGCUCAGGCGGAUUUGUAAGUCAGAGGUGAAAUCUUACAGCUUAACUGUGAAACUGCCUUUGAUACUGCAAGACUAGAGUAUGGAAGAGAGUGAUGGAAUAUCUGGUGUAGCAGUGAAAUGCGUAGAUAUCAGAUAGAACACCAAUGGCGAAGGCAGUCACUUGGUCCAUUACUGACGCUAAAGUACGAAAGCGUGGGUAGCAAACA
rnacentral:rRNA from 1 species